UUUUGCUAUUAAAAAAAAAAAGCCGCAUCGCCGGCAUCUUUAAGUUCCCAUCAUUCCUCUUCCCAACACCGGGGAUCUUCUCAACUCCCCCUCCGGUGACCAACUGACAGAUCAACUCUCCUACUCGUAUUCACGGCUCCAUCUACCGCAAUCGCCACCUCUCUCUCUCUCUCACCGGCGAUCUUCCGAUCUCACCAGCCCCACCUCCUCCGCCUCUUGAAGAUUAUCUUAUCAAUGUGCUCUACUUAUGGUCUAUCUAAACAAAUGCACCCAUCAAUGUCAUCUUCAUCAUUAUCUUCUUUUUUGGCUCCGGUAUUUUCUUGUGAAUCGUGGAAUCGUGAUGUUUUUCUCAGUUUUAAAAGAAAUGAUACUCGCAAGACUUUUGUGGAUCAUUUCUACGCAGCUCUUGUACAACAAGGAAUCUACACUUACGAGGAUGAAAAGACAUUUCCUUAAGGUGAACUGAUCGGUCUAUCCCUUAUGAAGGCUAUUCCGUGGAAUCACCGAUUGUCGUCAUCGUAUUCUCUAAAAACUAUGUAGAUUCAUAGUGGUAUCCGGAUGAACUUGCAUAUAUUAUGAAGUGCAAGGAUACAAGUGGGCAGAUUGUUAUCCCCAUCUUUUAAAUUGUCAUCCCAAUAUUUUAUGAUGCGGAUCUUAUAUACUAACGAAAUCAAAAAGAAAAUACAAAAGAAAAUACAGAGAAACAUUUGUCAAACAUGAGUUAGAGAACAAAAACAAAGUUGAAACUUGGAGAAAAGCACUUGUGGAUGCAAGUAACCUCUCUGCAUGAGAACUCAAGCAUGGAUCAAAGUGCAUCAAAGAAAUUGAUAUAAUUUCAACUUACAACCGUAAAUUAACACCCGCGUAGAAUAGAAGCUCGCAACAACAUUUGAAAUGAAAGUUAUUAAUGGUGUGCGUAUGAUUGAUGGUUGAUGUAUUUUCAUAUAGUGAAAUAUCUAGCAAGUUUGAUGGUUGCUGCAUUGUUGAAGGAAUUUUAGACGACUCAAGCAUGUAUCGUUUAGAAAAGUUGUAAGAAAAAAAAAGCCUUUAAACAUUUUGAAACGAAAAUAAAUGGAAAUAAACAGAGUUAAAGCAGGAUGAUGCUUUAUAAUUAAUAGGUUUCACUACAGAAUUGUGUUGCUUGUUCUUAAUGAUAUGGAUCAUAUUGACCAUCACAUAUUUGGUUUGAUGAAUGAAGCCAAUAAUAACCAAAACUAGAGAUAAUCAUUUCUUAAAUGCUUACAAAGUAGACGUGAUAUACACUAUUAGUUUAUUAGAUGACGAGGCUAUUGAGCUCUUUUGCAAGCGGAUAAUUAGUUGC